GCGGGAGUGGCGGAAUUGGCAGACGCGCUACUUUGAGGUGGUAGUGAGGCAACUCGUGUGGGUUCGAGUCCCACCUCUCGCA
rnacentral:tRNA from 1 species